GCCGGGCAUGGUGGCUCAUGCCUGUAAUCCCAGCAAUUAGGGAGGCUGAGGUGGGUGAAUCACUUGAGGUCAGGAGUUCUAGACCAGUCUGGCCAACAUGGUGAAACCCCAUCUCUA
rfam:Pan troglodytes isolate Yerkes chimp pedigree #C0471 (Clint) chromosome 16, whole genome shotgun sequence.